GCUUACACAUGCAAGUCGAGGGGCAGCAUGGUCUUAGCUUGCUAAGGCCGAUGGCGACCGGCGCACGGGUGAGUAACACGUAUCCAACCUGCCGUCUACUCUUGGACAGCCUUCUGAAAGGAAGAUUAAUACAAGAUGGCAUCAUGAGUUCACAUGUUCACAUGAUUAAAGGUAUUCCGGUAGACGAUGGGGAUGCGUUCCAUUAGAUAGUAGGCGGGGUAACGGCCCACCUAGUCUUCGAUGGAUAGGGGUUCUGAGAGGAAGGUCCCCCACAUUGGAACUGAGACACGGUCCAAACUCCUACGGGAGGCAGCAGUGAGGAAUAUUGGUCAAUGGGCGAGAGCCUGAACCAGCCAAGUAGCGUGAAGGAUGACUGCCCUAUGGGUUGUAAACUUCUUUUAUAAAGGAAUAAAGUCGGGUAUGGAUACCCGUUUGCAUGUACUUUAUGAAUAAGGAUCGGCUAACUCCGUGCCAGCAGCCGCGGUAAUACGGAGGAUCCGAGCGUUAUCCGGAUUUAUUGGGUUUAAAGGGAGCGUAGAUGGAUGUUUAAGUCAGUUGUGAAAGUUUGCGGCUCAACCGUAAAAUUGCAGUUGAUACUGGAUAUCUUGAGUGCAGUUGAGGCAGGCGGAAUUCGUGGUGUAGCGGUGAAAUGCUUAGAUAUCACGAAGAACUCCGAUUGCGAAGGCAGCCUGCUAAGCUGCAACUGACAUUGAGGCUCGAAAGUGUGGGUAUCAAACAGGAUUAGAUACCCUGGUAGUCCACACGGUAAACGAUGAAUACUCGCUGUUUGCGAUAUACUGCAAGCGGCCAAGCGAAAGCGUUAAGUAUUCCACCUGGGGAGUACGCCGGCAACGGUGAAACUCAAAGGAAUUGACGGGGGCCCGCACAAGCGGAGGAACAUGUGGUUUAAU
rnacentral:rRNA from 1 species